AUUAACGCUGGCAGAGUGCAUAACACAUGCAAGUCGGGCGAGACUGGUAGCAAUAUCAGUCUAGCGGCAGACGAGUGAGUAACACGUAAACAAUCUACCCUUGAAUGGUGAAUAACCAGCCGAAAGGCUGGCUAAUACACCGUACUCUCCCCUGGUGGCAUCACCGAGGGAGGAGAGAUCCGCAAGGAUCGUUCUUGGAGGAGUUUGCGGCCCAUCAGCUAGUUGGCGGUGUAAUAGACCACCAAGGCUACGGCGGGUACCCGGCCUGAAAGGGCGGACGGGCACGAUGGCACUGAGACACGGGCCAUACUCCUAUGGGAGGCAGCAGUGGGGAAUUUUGGACAAUGGGCGAAAGCCUGAUCCAGCAACUCUGCGUGAGGGACGAAGGCCUUCGGGUCGUAAACCUCUUUUACAUGGGAAGAAUACCAGCAAUGGUUCGACGGUACCAUGUGAAUAAGCCACGGCUAACUAUGU
rnacentral:rRNA from 1 species